GACGAACGCUGGCGGCGUGCUUAACACAUGCAAGUCGAACGGAAAGGCCCCUUUGGGUGUCCUUGAGUGGCGAAAGGGGGAGUAACACGUGAGUAACCUGCGCAUGAUUCCGGGAUAACUUCAGUAAACUGGGGCUAAUACCGGUUAGGAAUCCUUGCUGCAUGGUGGGGGUUGGAAAGUUUCGGCGGUUUUGGAUGGACUCGCGGCGUAUCAGCUGGUUGGUGGGGUAGUGGCUUACCAAGGCUUCGACGGGUAGCUGGCCUGAGGGGGCGACCGGCCACAGUGGGACUGAGAUACGGCCCAGGCGCGGACGGGUGGCAGAAGUGGGGAAUAUUGCUCAAGCGGCGGAGGCCUGAUGCAGAAGCGCCGCGGGCGGGAGAACGGCCUUGUGGUUAUAAACCGCUAUCAGCAGGGGCGAAGGUUGUGGUGACGGUACCUGCAGAAGAAGCACCGGCUAACUACGUG
rnacentral:rRNA from 1 species